AUUGCAUUUAUACCGUACAAGUUUAAUACUUAAACUUGCGUACUUUCUGGCAAAACUAGUUACGGAAUCACUCGAAAUGUCACUUAACGUAUUUAUAAUUGCUACGAAAACGCAGUAUAUAUAGACUGGAUAUUCAUUUAAUCACAUGAAAUAAGUUAAUCGAUCAUUGAAUUUGUCAAACACUCAGAAAACAAAUAGUUGAGUAAAAACAACUCAACGUGAGGCAUUCAAGCUGCGAACUACCCGUUGAGUAGUUUAAACUCAGUUUUGGAUGAAAAAAUGCGACAGCCAUAUUGAAAAGUCAACAUUGCUCAUUCCAGAUUAGCCGUCAUCGGCGUAAGACGUGAUCGUAAUUGUUAUUGUUUUUUAAUUAUAAAAAAUCAAUAAAUUACGAUAGAAGUUUAUUUAAUACAUUUUUGAUAGCUAAUCCUGAAGUUGUUUACCGGAAUGCUGAUUUACUACAGGAAUUCAGUUAUCGUUAUUGGUGCACAAUUUCCGAUGUCCAGAAGUGACUUAAUGCCUUGCUCUCGAUGGCUACCAUCCUCUCCGAACUGCUGUUUGCCGUUACCUCCACCCACCGUUCACGAUUCCCGGAACCGUUUCCGACGAACUAUUGCUGAAAGUGAGAGGCUGAUUGCUGAACAAAAUGCGUGUCAUUCGUUGCCUGCUUGCUGUUCCUGUCAUUCCUAGCCUCCAUGUGCCACCGUCGGGGUCGAGCUUUCCAUUGGCGUUCCCAGUACAUUGCUGCCGGUCCCGAUAAGUUUGAUGCUGCAGGUGAACUCACCCGAUCCAAAUUGUUUCCUGUGCUGAUGUCGCCAUUCCUGCCCUGCCACCCACGCGGUUGGGUUUUGAAGCAAUUUUUUACUAUUUUAUUUUUUAUGAAUUAAAAUAAAACAAGAUAAAUGUUUGUAUCAUUCAA